rnacentral:lncRNA from 1 species
ACCCUAGCAAACUUCCUUUCAUCCCACCCAACAUCAGCACCGCUUCCGUGAUCUAUGCUUUUGUGAGAGACAAAGUUUGUAUAUCUGUGGACUUUGGAUCGAGCGUCAAGGAAGAUCCACUCAGGGUUCUUAAUGGUGCUGUAUGUGAUCUUGAUAGGAUUUGCUUAAAUGGCGUGUGCGUGGAAUCGAGAUUUCUUAAGGCUCAAUCAACAUCGUGUGCAGAAGCCAAGUGCAACGGGCAUGGAGUGUGCACUUCCCGUGGUGACUGCCAUUGUUCUGAGGGCUUUCAACCUCCCAGCUGUACACCUAAGGAAGGAGGAGACUCAUCUUGGUAUGGCAGGCAAGAAGCAAAUCAGAAGACAACACUCAAACGUACAACAGCAGAUCAAAAUCCGAGGCAAGCAGUGGAUCACCUACGAGCAGUUAACUGCUACCCCUUCAGGAGGAAGAGGAUGGCACCCAGGGGCUCACUGAGAAAUGAAGAGUCCACGGUCUUCCCUUGGUCACAGCUGAAGGAGCUAAUAAACUGAAAGUGGACCAAU